UUCCUCGAGAGUUCUGAGGUAGGUUCUGCUCUAUGAGGUAAAUGGCGGCGUUAGCGUGAUCGUCCUAAGGUAGCAUAUAAUAACUCGUUUAAUUGGCGGAUGGAAUAAACGAGUUAUUGGUUUAGAGUUAUAAGUUGGUCGGUUUUGGAAAUUUUUGAAGCGGUUAAAAUGCCGCUGAGUAUAGUUGGGACGAGAAGACUUUAGAAGUUUGUUAUUGAUUUUUUUUGGGUGAUAAAAUGGUCAAAUUCUUUUAUUUAUUAUCUUUUCGAAUUUUCGAUAAAUUACUCUAAAGGUAACAGGGUUUUCUAAUAUUAAGAACGUAUUUUCUAUUGCGGAUUUUUACCUCGAUGUUGAAUCAUUAUAAGUUUACUUGGAGAAAGUAGUUGUAUGGCACUGUUCGUGCUAUUUGAUUGUACG
rnacentral:rRNA from 1 species